rnacentral:rRNA from 1 species
UAAUGGGUGAUGGCGUGCCUUUUGUAGAAUGAACCGGCGAGUUACGAUUUGAUGCAAGGUUAAGCAGUAAAUGUGGAGCCGUAGCGAAAGCGAGUCUGAAUAGGGCGUUUAGUAUUUGGUCGUAGACCCGAAACCAGGUGAUCUACCCUUGGUCAGGUUGAAGUUCAGGUAACACUGAAUGGAGGACCGAACCGACUUACGUUGAAAAGUGAGCGGAUGAACUGAGGGUAGCGGAGAAAUUCCAAUCGAACCUGGAGAUAGCUGGUUCUCUCCGAAAUAGCUUUAGGGCUAGCCUCAAGUGAUGAUUAUUGGAGGUAGAGCACUGUUUGGACGAGGGGCCCCUCUCGGGUUACCGAAUUCAGACAAACUCCGAAUGCCAAUUAAUUUAACUUGGGAGUCAGAACAUGGGUGAUAAGGUCCGUGUUCGAAAGGGAAACAGCCCAGACCACCAGCUAAGGUCCCAAAAUAUAUGUUAAGUGGAAAAGGAUGUGGCGUUGCCCAGACAACUAGGAUGUUGGCUUAGAAGCAGCCAUCAUUUAAAGAGUGCGUAAUAGCUCACUAGUCGAGUGACACUGCGCCGAAAAUGUACCGGGGCUAAACAUAUUACCGAAGCUGUGGAUUGUCCUUUGGACAAUGGUAGGAGAGCGUUCUAAGGGCGUUGAAGCAUGAUCGUAAGGACAUGUGGAGCGCUUAGAAGUGAGAAUGCCGGUGUGAGUAGCGAAAGACGGGUGAGAAUCCCGUCCACCGAUUGACUAAGGUUUCCAGAGGAAGGCUCGUCCGCUCUGGGUUAGUCGGGUCCUAAGCUGAGGCCGACAGGCGUAGGCGAUGGAUAACAGGUUGAUAUUCCUGUACCACCUAUAAUCGUUUUAAUCGAUGGGGGGACGCAGUAGGAUAGGCGAAGCGUGCGAUUGGAUUGCACGUCUAAGCAGUAAGGCUGAGUAUUAGGCAAAUCCGGUACUCAUUAAGGCUGAGCUGUGAUGGGGAGAAGACAUUGUGUCUUCGAGUCGUUGAUUUCACACUGCCGAGAAAAGCCUCUAGAUAGAAAAUAGGUGCCCGUACCGCAAACCGACACAGGUAGUCAAGAUGAGAAUUCUAAGGUGAGCGAGCGAACUCUCGUUAAGGAACUCGGCAAAAUGACCCCGUAACUUCGGGAGAAGGGGUGCUCUUUAGGGUUAACGCCCAGAAGAGCCGCAGUGAAUAGGCCCAAGCGACUGUUUAUCAAAAACACAGGUCUCUGCUAAACCGUAAGGUGAUGUAUAGGGGCUGACGCCUGCCCGGUGCUGGAAGGUUAAGAGGAGUGGUUAGCUUCUGCGAAGCUACGAAUCGAAGCCCCAGUAAACGGCGGCCGUAACUAUAACGGUCCUAAGGUAGCGAAAUUCCUUGUCGGGUAAGUUCCGACCCG